GCCACGCGAGCCAGCCCGAGCGUGUUACGAACCCACGUGAGGUCGAGGACUGCCGAUAUGGGAAUUGCGGCUGGCGGUUAGAGCCCCGUGUUACUUGCAGAAGUUUCUUUAUAUUGUAAGUUUUAGAUGACAGUUUGGCCAUAGUUUUUGUCUAAUUUUGAAGUUAUAUAAUGAUUUGGGCCUUUGAUGCCCGAGACUCUUUUGUAAUACUUUGAAAUAUUAUGUACAAUGUAUUUACAGUUUGGGGAUUGGGUUAUCCAUACUUCAAUGAAUGUGUGUGAUAUGGAGUUUUUGUUUUA